AGGCUCACGGACGGCCCGAGCUUUCCCUCCCCACUACUUGGUGCGCUGCAGUCGGUCACUUACCGCAUACGGGUCCCUGUAAAUGAUAUGCACGCACACAAUCGAUUCUCGCUGGCGCGCGGCGUUCCGCGAUUUCAACUCAUUGCCAGAAUCAGAGCAAUCGAGCAACUCACAAGGGGAGGUUGAGAACUCGUCGUCAUCGAUUUCGGCCAAAUUCACAGUAUAUGUUGGGCUCGACUAGAACUUAAAGUGAGCCAAGUAAAAAGACGAGAUGGCCAAGCGUUUUGCAGAUAUUAUUGUUUAAACAUUUUAUGUGUAGUACACAAGCUUUUUAAGAUUACGUGUGGAACAAAUAAUGGUCAGCGCAGCGGCAAGCGUUCGGAUUCAUAGCAUGAGGCUCGUGGGUUCGAUUCCGUGCACAGAAUCAAUUUUACUGAACCCGCCAUGUAAAAUAAAGGGAAACGAAUCUGUCGCAGUACCUCACGGGUGAUUUGGAAAACUGCGAGUUAUGAGACCAGAAUUGCAAAUUAAUUAGUUCCAAAACUUCGAAUUAAAACUGGAAAUUAAAUUUUCAGUGAAAAAUGAUAUGUGUAAUUUUGAGUUCGAAUCAUAAUAUUAAAAAUCAGAAACGGGUUUUUAACUCAAAAAUUAAGAUUGAGGAGUUUCAAAAUAAAUUUCUUAUUCGAAUGACAGAACUAAAAAAUUGAAAAUUACUUUUUCAUUCGAAUGAUGUAAUUAAGGAUGCAGAUAAUAUUGUAUUACUUAGUUCUUAUUUUGACAGUAACAAUUGGGAAAUAAAAAAAAUUCACCUAGUGCUAA